rnacentral:lncRNA from 1 species
CUUGAGUUUUUUUUUUUUUAAAAAAAAAUAUUAGAUCCUCUUUUAAUUUCUGGUAAGAGAAAUGUGUGGAUUUCGGCCUGUUUUUUUUGUUUUUUUUUUUAAGAUUUGUUUUGAGCCUUCUUCUCUAAUUGUUUAUGGAUGUAUCUAUGUGUUUAAAUGUAUACAUCUGCAUUUCAGCACUCAAGUGUUAUUUUUCUGCAACGUCAGUUUAUUUCUUAAAAGUGGGUUUGGUAUAAUUGCUAUUGAUGUAGAUAUCUGCAUUUAAGCACUCAAGUGUUAUCUUUCUUCAACAUCGAUUUAUUUCUUAAAAGUGGGUUUGCUACAAUUGCUAUUUCUUUGUUCUUUGAUCUUAUAGCUUUUGCUUGCGUUAUUAUGUUCAUGUUGCUAUUCGUCUGGUACUGUUUUAUGGUUUCAGCCUCUGUUAUGUUCAUAAUAUGUUAUUUAACUCUAAGGAUACAAAAUCUAUUCACCUCAUUUAUUUGUUUCUUUUUCUAUUUUCUCUUGGUAUGCAUUUGAUUUUGCUUCCAUGCUUUUUAUAGAUUAAAAGGAGAAGUUUCAAGGACUUCUCGUGGUAGCCUUUAGAUUCGAGCUGCGUUCUCUUGGGUUAGUGGUUUCUUUCCAUUUGGGUUAGUUGUCGUAUUAAAUGCGAUUUCUACCUCUUAUCUUCACUUUCUAGUUGUAGUUUCUGGAUUUGGGAAAAUUUUUUUCCUGUUUUGUCUCGGGAAAGUUGUGGUUUUAUUGGGAAAUUCAGGCUUCUUGGUUGUUUUCUGAUAUGAUUUUCUGAAGUGCUUCUGCGUCAGUUUCUUGAUCGAUUCUCUGUUUGGUUACUUAGAAAAUAUGGGGAAGCAACUGAAAUCUCAUGUUUCUUGUCUUCUGAAUCUGAUUUUGUUUAACUGCUUAUUGGUAGCAGGCAAGACAAUAACCAUAACUAAAGUGGAUUAGUUUUGGUAGGCUCCACUGAUUAGGAUGGAUUUUCUUCUUUCCUCUUUCAAAUUUACAAUUAAGGAAAUUUAUUAUUUUUAAAUAUUGUUUUGGAUUAUAUAUGAACAAUUCUUAUUGUAAAGAAGUUGGCUGUCCUGGAUGCUGUAAAAGUUUCUGUAAAUCCUUAAUAUAUUUGGGAGGUUAAGCACAUUGAUGAGUAAUGACAGGCUGCCUCCAUUUCUGAGAGAGGGAAGAAGGGGAUCAAGGAAACAUUUUUAAUGCAAAAUCUAUUAUAUAUAUUUUUAAUGUGUUUUUUUAUAUUAGUCAAAACUAUGCACAAAAAUUUUUUCAAUCAUACUUUGUGUAUUAUCUAACUAACAUGAGAGUUUAACCUUGCAUUUGUAGAUAUGUGAAACUUUGAAGAGCAUUUGACUAAAAAUUCUUAACUCACUGCUUUGAAAUUUCAAGACCAAACAUGCAUCUCUAGCAAAAAUUUUCCAUACAUGACAAAAUAGGAAGAACAAUAAUGNN